GAUCAUGGCUCAGAGUGAACGCUGGCGGCAGGCCUAAUACAUGCAAGUCGAACGGCAGCACAGUGGAGCUUGCUCCAUGGGUGGCGAGUGGCGGACGGGUGAGGAAUACAUGGGAAUCUGCCCAGUCGUGGGGGAUAACGUAUGGAAACGUACGCUAAUACCGUAUGCGCCCUUCGGGGGAAAGUCGGGGACCGCAAGGCCUGACGCGAUUGGAUGAGCCCAUGUUCGAUUAGCUAGUUGGCGGGGUAACGGCCCACCAAGGCGACGAUCGAUAGCUGGUCUGAGAGGAUGAUCAGCCACACUGGAACUGAGACACGGUCCAGACUCCUACGGGAGGCAGCAGUAGGGAAUAUUGGACAAUGGGCGCAAGCCUGAUCCAGCCAUGCCGCGUGAGUGAAGAAGGCCCUCGGGUUGUAAAGCUCUUUUGUUGGGGAAGAAAAGCAGUUGGUUAAUACCCGAUUGUUCUGACGGUACCCAAAGAAUAAGCACCGGCUAACUUCGUG
rnacentral:rRNA from 1 species